UUGGAUAUCUCAGUUGGUAGAGCAUGAGACUCUUAAUCUCAGGGUUGAGGGUUCGAGACCCACAUUGGGCAAAU
rnacentral:tRNA from 1 species